UGGGUAUUGGUGCAUGCAAAGUAUGAGUUCCUAUUCUGAUAAUCGUAUAUACACGAGUCCCGUUGUGAAAGGAUUAAAGCACCGCUCCACACCCAUAAAGCACUUCAGCUUGCCGAAAUCUGCACUUUUAUAAAUCAAGUAACACCUUCAUGUUUGUUUGAUUCUUCCUGCCAUUAGGUGUAUUGAGCUGACAGAAGAGGCAGGCAUGCUCUGCAAGAAGGUACCUGCCUUCUCCCACAAGUUCCAGUGAGCCAUUGAGCGCGUGUCUACA